ACAACGGAGAGUUUGAUCCUGGCUCAGGAUGAACGCUGGCGGCGUGCUUAACACAUGCAAGUCGAACGAACCUUCGGGUUAGUGGCGGACGGGUGAGUAACGCGUGAGAAUCUGCCCUCAGGAGGGGGAUAACGGUUGGAAACGACCGCUAAUACCCCAUAUGCCGCGAGGUGAAAUGAAUUUCGCCUGAGGAUGAGCUCGCGUCUGAUUAGCUAGUUGGUGGGGUAAAGGCCUACCAAGGCAUCGAUCAGUAGCUGGUCUGAGAGGAUGAUCAGCCACACUGGGACUGAGACACGGCCCAGACUCCUACGGGAGGCAGCAGUGGGGAAUUUUCCGCAAUGGGCGAAAGCCUGACGGAGCAACGCCGCGUGAGGGAUGAAGGCCUCUGGGCUGUAAACCUCUUUUAUCAAGGAAGAAGAUCUGACGGUACUUGAUGAAUAAGCCACGGCUAAUUCCGUGCCAGCAGCCGCGGUAAUACGGGAGUGGCAAGCGUUAUCCGGAAUUAUUGGGCGUAAAGCGUCCGCAGGCGGCCCUUCAAGUCUGCUGUUAAAGAGUGGAGCUUAACUCCAUCAUGGCAGUGGAAACUGUUGGGCUUGAGUGUGGUAGGGGCAGAGGGAAUUCCCGGUGUAGCGGUGAAAUGCGUAGAUAUCGGGAAGAACACCAGUGGCGAAGGCGCUCUGCUGGGCCAUCACUGACGCUCAUGGACGAAAGCCAGGGGAGCGAAAGGGAUUAGAUACCCCUGUAGUCCUGGCCGUAAACGAUGAACACUAGGUGUCGGGGGAAUCGACCCCCUCGGUGUCGUAGCCAACGCGUUAAGUGUUCCGCCUGGGGAGUACGCACGCAAGUGUGAAACUCAAAGGAAUUGACGGGGGCCCGCACAAGCGGUGGAGUAUGUGGUUUAAUUCGAUGCAACGCGAAGAACCUUACCAGGGUUUGACAUCCUGCGAAUCUCUUGGAAACGAGAGAGUGCCUUCGGGAACGCAGUGACAGGUGGUGCAUGGCUGUCGUCAGCUCGUGUCGUGAGAUGUUGGGUUAAGUCCCGCAACGAGCGCAACCCACGUCUUUAGUUGCCAGCAUUUAGUUGGGCACUCUAGAGAGACCGCCGGUGAUAAACCGGAGGAAGGUGUGGAUGACGUCAAGUCAUCAUGCCCCUUACAUCCUGGGCUACACACGUACUACAAUGCUACGGACAAAGGGCAGCAAGUUCGCGAGGACAAGCAAAUCCCAUAAACCGUGGCUCAGUUCAGAUCGUAGGCUGCAACUCGCCUACGUGAAGGAGGAAUCGCUAGUAAUCGCAGGUCAGCAUACUGCGGUGAAUACGUUCCCGGGCCUUGUACACACCGCCCGUCACACCAUGGAAGUUGGCCACGCCCGAAGCCGUUACUCCAACCCUCGGGAGGAGGACGUCGAAGGUGGGGCUGAUGACUGGGGUGAAGUCGUAACAAGGUAUCCGUACCGGAAGGUGCGGAUGGAUCACCUCCUAA
rnacentral:rRNA from 1 species